AUCUGAAUUGCUCUCUCUUUAUAUAUUUUUUUAUAUUUCCUCUUCUUUCUAUAUUUUCUCUUUUACACUACAUCUAAACCUAACGAAGCUAACUAUACUACACCUAAACUUAACCAAGUUAACUAUACUACACCUAAACUUAACCAAGUUAACUAUACUACACCUAAACUUAACCAAGUUAACUAUACUACACCUAAACUUAACCAAGUUAACCUUGCUACACCUAAACUUAACCAAGUUAACUUCACUACACCUAAACUUAACCAAGUUAACUUCACUACACCUAACCUACAAAGCUAACUAUACUACACCUAAAGCUAACUAUACUACACCUAAACUUAACCAAGUUAACUAUACUACACCUAAACUUAACCAAGUUAACUAUACUACACCUAAACUUAACCAAGUUAACCACACUACAUCUAAACCUACUCAUUCUACCCCUGAUAGUUUGAAGCCUAUAGACUCUAGCCCUAUCCAUUACAUCUAUUGUACUGUGGAUGGUGAAUUUAAAAGGAUUUCUCUUUGUCCGGGGGGUGUUGUGGGCCUGGGCUGUGGGGCUCUGCUCGAACGGUGAAAACAGGUGGCCAUUAGGAGUAUAAGAAGGACAGUGCAUGUACCGAUGUUGAACUAUGUUUCAGCUUCUGGAUCUCAUUCGUUCCUAACCUAACCCAUAAACUGCUAGCCCUAGCCUCACUAACCACUAGACUUAACCCACUAACCCAGCCCUGACCCACAAACUUUAAACAUUCAUUAACGCAAAACUUCAUCAAAUUCUGUACAGAAAUAACAUCAAACUAAUCUCUAUCUAUCUAUCUAUCUAUCUAUCUAUCUAUCUAUCUAUCUAUCUAUCCACACCAGCACCUAACACUUAACACAACCUUUGAGGGGAACAAUAUGUGUAAGUGACCACUAGAGGUCGCUAGAGGUAAUUCAUUCACAUUCAGGUCAUUUAUGUGAUUGGGUUUGAGGCUGUGAGCCCAGAAACCUGUAUUGUCGAUCAGCAGUUACACUUGUCAGAUUUCUCUCAUGUCAGAAGCUCAGUGACAUAUGUAUUAUAUUAAUUCCCUUUUUUCUACUAUUGUUUUGUUUAAGUCUGCUUUGUCUUAUGUCUACUACAUUUGUGUGCUGUUUAGCACAGAUACCAUCAAGCUAGCGGCUAACUCAGGAGGCAGCAAGUUUAAAGUUUGCACCCUUGGUGAGCGGAGCGAGGUGUGUAUUUAUUUUUUUUUAGUUCAGUGUUUAAAAGACCGAAAUCUUUAAUGAUGUAAAAUGUCUACAUUGACUGUUUCUGGAAAUUGUUUUGUUGUGCCACUUGUACCAGGAAAGGUUAAAGUGUUAACUGAGCAAAUUAUUGUUUAUGUGUUGUUAUUUUAAAUGGCUUUAAAGGUAAUUUAAUGUGCAUUGCAUAUAUACAAAUGCAUGAUGAUGCACUGUAAAAGGUGUAAAGGAUUUAAUUAUACAUUUUUGUUAUGCCAAAGGCAUAUUAACCAGCUAUUUGUGUGUUUACUUUUAGUUUUCACGGUGCUUAUGCUCGUUCCAGAAGAAUAAAAAACGAUUGCAGCUCUUAGAGACUCUCUGCCUCAUAUUAAGGAAGCCAAGGGCUGCGACAAUAUGUUCUUCCUUUACAUGUUCAAUAGUCUAAAUUGCUCAAGCCUACCUGCUGUUUUAUCACAAAUUGUUUAAGUUUGACUUCUAAUGAUGCACUCUCUCACUCUUUCAAUCUCUCUCGCUCUCUCUCUCACACACACACACACACACACACACACACACACACGGGGGGGAGGCACUUCGGGGGGAGGCACUCUUCGCAUUUAUCUAUAUAACCUACAGUCGGAAACCCUCAAAAUCCACUCAAAACCACUCAAGAACACUAAAAACCAACACCAAACCACUCAAAAAACACUAAGUCCAACCCAUUUGACUAAGUCACAACCAGCCACAUAGAGAAACUCGACUCUAGGGCUGGAACUAAGAAACUCAACCAUAGCCCUAGCACACCAAAACUCAAGUAAUGGAGCAGUACCAUAUCUCGGCGCCUGGUGGCGCUAGAGAGACGGCACUGGGUGCAUUCGAAAGCCCACUCCCUAAUUAGUAUACCCACCAAGUUUCAGCACUCUAGGACUUAUGGUACCCGAGAUAAGGGGGGGGAGGCACUUCGGGGGGAGGCACUCUUCGCAUUUAUCUAUAUAACCUACAGUCAGAAACCCUCAAAGUCCACUCAAAACCACUCAAGAACACUCGAAACCACUCAAAACCAAGACAGACCCUACCAAAACCACCCAAAACCUAACCAAACCACUCAAAAAACAGCCAGAAACACUCUAAACCAAGACCAACCCGACCAAAACCACCCAAAACCUAACAUCUUACCAGUCAGUAUUUUUUGCCUUUACCGAUGACUGACUUCCUUUUUGUCACACUUUAGACUGUUGUACGGUCACAUUGGAUUUGAAAGCAACAUCCUUUCUUCCAUACAUCCGCGCUACCUGAAAGACGACAGCUUCCUGAAUCCAACGAUACCAGUUAUGUGCACAUCGGACCUCCACUUCAAAAGAUACGGCCAGGUAAGCUUUGGCCAAUCAGAUCGCAUAUGCUAAUGAGGGUGGAAUUAAUGAGGGUGAAACUCGUUUUUAUGUAUAUACCUAACCCUAACCCUAUUGAAAUCAGAAACAGGGCAGUUAGUUUUUAUGGAAAAUUAUAUGAGAGUAAAUUAACACUUGAUGAAAUGCAGGAUGACAGUUUUUUUGAAAAUCUGCCUCAAGUAUCUGUUCUCAUUUGUAAGUCGCUUUGGAUAAAAGCGUCUGCUAAAUGAUUAAAUGUACAUGUAAAUGUAGAAGAAGUAUUCUCACAUUAUUGCCAAAGAAAGGUGAUUUAAAUGAGAAAAAAAAUUGGAGACCUGUAAGCUUGCUGUGUACACAUAAAUUUCUUUCC
rnacentral:lncRNA from 1 species